rnacentral:rRNA from 1 species
UGGUGGGUAGUUUGACUGGGGCGGUCUCCUCCUAAAGAGUAACGGAGGAGCACGAAGGUUGGCUAAUCCUGGUCGGACAUCAGGAGGUUAGUGCAAUGGCAUAAGCCAGCUUGACUGCGAGCGUGACGGCGCGAGCAGGUGCGAAAGCAGGUCAUAGUGAUCCGGUGGUUCUGAAUGGAAGGGCCAUCGCUCAACGGAUAAAAGGUACUCCGGGGAUAACAGGCUGAUACCGCCCAAGAGUUCAUAUCGACGGCGGUGUUUGGCACCUCGAUGUCGGCUCAUCACAUCCUGGGGCUGAAGUAGGUCCCAAGGGUAUGGCUGUUCGCCAUUUAAAGUGGUACGCGAGCUGGGUUUAGAACGUCGUGAGACAGUUCGGUCCCUAUCUGCCGUGGGCGCUGGAGAACUGAGGGGGGCUGCUCCUAGUACGAGAGGACCGGAGUGGACGCAUCACUGGUGUUCGGGUUGUCAUGCCAAUGGCACUGCCCGGUAGCUAAAUGCGGAAGAGAUAAGUGCUGAAAGCAUCUAAGCACGAAACUUGCCCCGAGAUGAGUUCUCCCUGAGACUUUAGGUCUCCUGAAGGAACGUUGAAGACGACGACGUUGAUAGGCCGGGUGUGUAAGC